rnacentral:misc_RNA from 1 species
GGGAAGGUCAACCGUUCAACCUUAAAGAGACUCCACUACUCUCUACUCACCUUCAAUUUCACUCUUCAACUCUCUCUGCAAAUGGGUAACUAUAGAAUGUGUAUGUGCUUCAUCAGGAAGUUCAAAGUCGUAGAGGCGGGGCCGCCUCCGGACGUUAAGGAUCACUUUAAGAAGUAUGCUAACGGCGCCACCCACAUGACUGCUGAGCAGCUCCGGACUUUCUUGAUGGAUGUCCAGGGCGA